rnacentral:rRNA from 1 species
GACGAACGCUGGCGGCGUGCCUAAUACAUGCAAGUCGAACGCAGUGGGGACGGGUGCGUAACACGUGGGUAACCUCCCAUCAGAGGGGAUAACACUUGGAAACAGGUGCUAAACCGAUACUGUUUGAUGGUCCCGCGCUGCAUUAGCUAGUUGGUGAGGUAACGGCUCACCAAGGCCACGAUGCAUAGCCCGACUGAGAGUGUGAUCGGCCACCCUGGUACUGAUACACGGCCCAGACUCCUACGGGAGGCAGCAGUAGGGAAUCUUCGACAAGGGACGAAAGUCUGACCGAGCAACGCCGCGUGAGUGAAGAAGGUUUUCGGAUCGUAAAACACUGUUGUUAGAGAAGCGGUAGCUAAACAGAAAGCAACGGCUAACUACGUGCCAGCCGGCGCGGUAAUAG